AAUGAGCCUGCGAGUUGUGGUGUCUGGCAAGGUUAAGCAAACGCGAAGCCGUAGCGAAAGCGAGUCUGAAUAGGGCGCUUAGUCAGAUGCUGCAGACCCGAAACGAAGUGAUCUAUCCAUGAGCAAGUUGAAGCUAGUGUAAGAACUAGUGGAGGACUGAACCCAUAGGCGUUGAAAAGCCCCGGGAUGACUUGUGGAUAGGGGUGAAAGGCCAAUCAAACUUCGUGAUAGCUGGUUCUCUCCGAAAUAUAUUUAGGUAUAGCGUUGUGUCGUAAUAUAAGGGGGUAGAGCACUGAAUGGGCUAGGGCAUACACCAAUGUACCAAACCCUAUCAAACUCCGAAUACCUUAUAUGUAAUCACAGCAGUCAGGCGGCGAGUGAUAAAAUCCGUCGUCAAGAGGGAAACAACCCAGACUACCAGCUAAGGUCCCUAAGUCUUACUUAAGUGGAAAACGAUGUGAAGUUACUUAAACAACCAGGAGGUUGGCUUAGAAGCAGCCAUCCUUUAAAGAAAGCGUAAUAGCUCACUGGUCUAGUGAUUUUGCGCGGAAAAUAUAACGGGGCUAAAGUAAGUACCGAAGCUGUAGACUUAGUUUACUAAGUGGUAGGAGAGCGUUCUAUUUGCGUCGAAGGUAUACCGGUAAGGAGUGCUGGAGCGAAUAGAAGUGAGCAUGCAGGCAUGAGUAGCGAUAAUUAAUGUGAGAAUCAUUAACGCCGUAAACCCAAGGUUUCCUACGCGAUGCUCGUCAUCGUAGGGUUAGUCGGGUCCUAAGUCGAGUCCGAAAGGGGUAGACGAUGGCAAAUUGGUUAAUAUUCCAAUACCAACAUUAGUGUGCGAUGGAAGGACGCUUAGGGCUAAGGGGGCUAGCGGAUGGAAGUGCUAGUCUAAGGUCGUAGGAGGUUAUACAGGCAAAUCCGUAUAACAAUACUCCGAGAACUGAAAGGCUUUUUGAAGUCUUCGGAUGGAUAGAAGAACCCCUGAUGCCGUCGAGCCAAGAAAAGUUUCUAAGUUUAGCUAAUGUUGCCCGUACCGUAAACCGACACAGGUGGGUGGGAUGAGUAUUCUAAGGCGCGUGGAAGAACUCUCUUUAAGGAACUCUGCAAAAUAGCACCGUAUCUUCGGUAUAAGGUGUGGUUAGCUUCGUACUAGGAUUUACUCCGAAAGCGAAGAAACUUACAACAAAGAGUCCCUCCCGACUGUUUACCAAAAACACAGCACUCUGCUAACUCGUAAGAGGAUGUAUAGGGUGUGACGCCUGCCCGGUGCUCGAAGGUUAAUUGAUGGGGUUAGCAUUAGCGAAGCUCUUGAUCGAAGCCCGAGUAAACGGCGGCCGUAACUAUAACGGUCCUAAGGUAGCGAAAUUCCUUGUCGGUUAAAUACCGACCUGCAUGAAUGGCGUAACGAGAUGGGAGCUGUCUCAAAGAGGGAUCCAGUGAAAUUGUAGUGGAGGUGAAAAUUCCUCCUACCCGCGGCAAGACGGAAAGACCCCGUGGACCUUUACUACAGCUUGACACUGCUACUUGGAUAAGAAUGUGCAGGAUAGGUGGGAGGCUUUGAGUAUAUGACGCCAGUUGUAUAUGAGCCAUUGUUGAGAUACCACUCUUUCUUAUUUGGGUAGCUAACCAGCUUGAGUUAUCCUCAAGUGGGACAAUGUCUGGUGGGUAGUUUGACUGGGGCGGUCGCCUCCCAAAUAAUAACGGAGGCUUACAAAGGUUGGCUCAGAACGGUUGGAAAUCGUUCGUAGAGUAUAAAGGUAUAAGCCAGCUUAACUGCAAGACAUACAAGUCAAGCAGAGACGAAAGUCGGUCUUAGUGAUCCGGUGGUUCUGUGUGGAAGGGCCAUCGCUCAAAGGAUAAAAGGUACCCCGGGGAUAACAGGCUGAUCUCCCCCAAGAGCUCACAUCGACGGGGAGGUUUGGCACCUCGAUGUCGGCUCAUCGCAUCCUGGGGCUGGAGCAGGUCCCAAGGGUAUGGCUGUUCGCCAUUUAAAGCGGUACGCGAGCUGGGUUCAGAACGUCGUGAGACAGUUCGGUCCCUAUCUGCCGUGGGCGUAAGAAGAUUGAAGAGAUUUGACCCUAGUACGAGAGGACCGGGUUGAACAAACCACUGGUGUAGCUGUUGUUCUGCCAAGAGCAUCGCAGCGUAGCUAAGUUUGGAAAGGAUAAACGCUGAAAGCAUCUAAGCGUGAAGCCAACUCUAAGAUGAAUCUUCUCUAAGCUCUCUAGAAGACUACUAGUUUGAUAGGCUGGGUGUGUAAUGGAUGAAAGUCCUUUAGCUGACCAGUACUAAUAGAGCGUUUGGCUUAUCUUUAAUAAAGCAU
rnacentral:rRNA from 1 species